GACGAACGCUGGCGGCGCGCCUAACACAUGCAAGUCGAACGAGCGAGAGAGAGCUUGCUUUCUCCAGCGAGUGGCGAACGGGUGAGUAACGCGUGAGGAACCUGCCUCAAAGAGGGGGACAACAGUUGGAAACGACUGCUAAUACCGCAUAAGCCCACGACCCGGCAUCGGGUAGAGGGAAAAGGAGCAAUCCGCUUUGAGAUGGCCUCGCGUCCGAUUAGCUAGUUGGUGAGGUAACGGCCCACCAAGGCGACGAUCGGUAGCCGGACUGAGAGGUUGAACGGCCACAUUGGGACUGAGACACGGCCCAGACUCCUACGGGAGGCAGCAGUGGGGAAUAUUGCACCAUGGGGGAAACCCUGAUGCAGCGACGCCGCGUGGAGGAAGAAGGUCUUCGGAUUGUAAACUCCUGUUGUUGAGGAAGAUAAUGACGGUACUCAACAAGGAAGUGACGGCUAACUACGUG
rnacentral:rRNA from 1 species